rfam:Ornithorhynchus anatinus chromosome 1, whole genome shotgun sequence.
CCUCUCUCAGGGUCACAUCUAGAGAGUUUCCAGUACUCUACCAGUCUCGACUAUGGGAGGGAGAGUCAAACAAAGGUAUAUCCAUUCCAUUCCUAGCUUGGCCAGCGGCUAGCGAGUGGAAGACAAUCUGUUACAAAC